rnacentral:rRNA from 1 species
UGAGCAAUCUGCCCUUCUCAUCGGAAUAAGCGUUGGAAACGACGUCUAAUGCCGAAUACGACCUCCUUUCGCAUGAUCGGAGGUGGAAAGCUCCGGCGGAGAAGGAUGAGCCCGCGGCCUAUCAGCUAGUUGGUGUGGGUAAUGGCCCACCAAGGCGACGACGGGUAGCCGGCCUGAGAGGGUGACCGGCCACACUGGGACUGAGACACGGCCCAGACCUCCGUACGGGAGGNAG